ensembl:lncRNA
CGUUCCAAAUAUUUCCAGCUAAUGCUAGCUGGCUAACUUGACAGGAUGUCUGAAAAAGCCUUACCUUUUUGAGUGCAAUCAUAUAACAAAUUUUGAGGACCAGGUAUGUACUCAGAAACAUUCUGUUCGAAAUCACAUAUUAGAUUUGUCCUUCAAAUAGAAUUUCUGCAGCGCUUUGGGAUAUGGCACAAUACUCUUUUUUUGUUUUUUGUUUUUUUUCAUUCGCCCAAGGUAUCAGCACAUGCCUGCGUUCAACGGUAUAGCGUGUAUCUCAGCACUUUUCCAAAGCUUUGUGGCUUUGUAUCUUUGACUUUUAUGUCCGCAACCCAUCAAAGGUCCCUUGUGUAGCAUAGACGCCUAAAUGUGUAUAUGGGUUUUUGUUUUGUUUUUGUUUUGUUUUGAAUUCAGUGUUUUAUAUUCCAGUGGUUUCAUUUGCUAGAGAAUACAGCCCUGUUAUUUAUUCUCUUCCUCCAGGAGUAAGAAAUCAGCUAUUUUGUAGAGAUUAGCAUUACUAGUGUUAAUAACAGUAAAUAAUGUCACCUUAAUAAAGUAAAUAAUGUCACCUUAAGAAUGGUGCUUGUAAAGAAUUGGGGGGGGGGGGGGGGGGGCGUAUGUUUUGGAUUUUCUUUCAAUAGAGUGGACAAAAUUGGUGUAUCUGCCCUUAUGUCAUGUCUUUUUGUUGCAGCUUGUUUUCUUGUUGAUCUCAUUGAGAUCUUUUGAAUGUUAUCAAACUUGUUUUGAAGUUUAUGGCCCACACUGUCAGAAAGCUCCUCUCAAAGAUUGACUUUUUUCUUUUCUUUUUUUUUUUAUAAACUUUCCCAGUUUCUUUUCGACAGUUUCUGCUUUCUACAAAGACUUCAUCCACAUUCAUUUCAUUAUAUUUUUUAAAUGCCUUUUGUUUUAUUUUAUGUGAAAGACACUGCUAGAAAAAGAUGGUGUGAUAACAUCAGAGAACAGGUCAAGACAUUUCUUUCUGCAUAUUAUUAGCUGUAAAGUAAUUUGUAUUUAUUGUGUACAAAUGUUAAAUAAAAAAAUGAGAAAAUGAUCUUUGCUUUCUUGGAGGUUUGUGUAUUAUUAUCUUCACUAUAAUACAUAUAUGCCAUAAAGUCUUAUUGGUCCCCAA